GGAUGUGAUCAUACCAGCACUAAAGCACCGGAUCCCAUCAGAACUCCGAAGUUAAGCUUGCUUGGGCGAGAGUAGUACUAGGAUGGGUGACCUCCAGGGAAGUCCUCGUGUUGCAUUCC
rnacentral:rRNA from 2 species